GACGGAGGCCCCGAGCGUUGUUCGGAAUUACUGGGCUUAAAGCGCGUGUAGGCGGAUCGGUAAGUGCUUUGUGAAAUCCCCGGGCUCAACCCGGGAAUAGCUUGGCAUACUGUCGGUCUUGAGGCAGGUAUGGGUCACUGGAACCUUAGGUGUAGCGGUGAAAUGCGUAGAUAUCUAAGGGAACGCCGGUGGCGAAAGCGGGUGACUGGGCCUGUCCUGACGCUGAGACGCGAAAGCGUAGGGAGCAAACGGG
rnacentral:rRNA from 1 species